GGAUGUGAGGGUGAUCUGGCUGCAACAUCUGUCACCCCAUUGAUGGCCAGGGUUGAUUCGGCUGGUCUGGCUGGCUAGGUGAGUGUCCCCUUCCUCCCUCACCGCUCCAUGUGUGUCCUUCCUGAAGCUGCACACUUCCACGCUUUCAUGAAUAGAGCCGGACAGGUGGUCAAGGGUAUAGGCAUAGCUGCGCUCCCUGCUAGAACCUCCAAACAGGCUCAUAAUCAUGAAGCUGUCUCUCCCCUGUCCCCCCCUUUUUCCAUUCUUUUCACUUCAGAUAAAGAGAGACACAGAGAAGAAGAGACAAACCAGUCUCCCAAUACUACCUACGGA
rnacentral:snRNA from 1 species